rnacentral:tRNA from 1 species
GGGAAGGUGGCUCAGUGGUAGAGCACUUGCCUAGCAUGCAUGAGGCCCUGGAUUCGAUUCCUCCAUACCA